AGGGGUAUAGCUCAGUUGGUAGAGCACGAGGUUUUGAUCCUCGGUGUCGCAAGUUCAAGUCUUGCUACCCCCG
rnacentral:tRNA from 1 species